UACGUAGGUGGCAAGCGUUGUCCGGAGUUAUUGGGCGUAAAGCGCGCGCAGGCGGUGCGGUAAGUCUCUGGUGAAAGCGCUCGGCUUAACUGGGCGAGGGCCGGGGAGACUGCCACGCUGGAGGGGAGCAGAGGCGAGUGGAAUUCCGGGUGUAGUGGUGAAAUGCGUAGAGAUCCGGAAGAACACCAGUGGCGAAGGCGGCCCGCUGGGCAGUGGCUGACGCUGAGGCGCGACAGCGUGGGGAGCAAACAGG
rnacentral:rRNA from 1 species